UACGUAGGGGGCAAGCGUUGUCCGGAUUUAUUGGGCGUAAAGAGCGUGUAGGCGGCUUGGAAGGUCAGCUGUGAAAACUCGAGGCUCAACCUCGAGACGUCGGUUGAAACCACCUGGCUAGAGUCCGGAAGAGGAGAGUGGAAUUCCCGGUGUAGCGGUGAAAUGCGCAGAUAUCGGGAAGAACACCGGUGGCGAAGGCGGCGUUCUGGACUGCAACUGACACUGAUGAACGAAAGCCAGGGGAGCAGACGGG
rnacentral:rRNA from 1 species